GUGAUGGAGGGACGGCGUCCGGAAAGUGAGCGGUACGACUAGAAAUGUCCGUAGAUGUAGCUGAGGCGUGGGGUUGGCAAUCCGCUCCACAUUAAGUCAAGGCUAUGGCUCGAGAGCGUUUAAGAUCUCGAAGUCAUUGGAAGGACGUCCAAGAAAAACUUCUAAGCGUUAAAACGUAUCAAACCGUACUAAAACUGACACAGGUAGGUGAGAUGAGUAGUCUCAGGCGCUCGGGAGAACGGUGGUUAAGGAACUCUGCAAAAUGGCUCCGUAAGUUCGCGAUAAGGAGCGCCCCUGAUGGUUAACGCUUUUGGGGGCCACAGAAAAUCGGCACUAGCGACUGUUUAUCAAAAACACAGGACUCUGCGAACUCGUAAGAGGAUGUAUAGAGUCUGACGCCUGCCCGGUGUUGGUAGGUUAAGGAAGAGAGUUAGCAGCAAUGCGAAGCCCGCGACCGAAGCCCCAAUAAACGGCGGCCCUAACUAUGAGGGUCCUAAGGUAGCGAAGUUCCUUGUCGGGUAAGUUCCGACCUGCAUGAAAGGCGUAACGACUGGUGCACUGUCUCAACCACCGACCCGGUGAAAUUGUAGUUGUGGUGAAGAUGCCACAUACCCGCAGUUAGACGGAAAGACCCCAUGAACCUUCACUGUAGGCUGAUAUUGGGUUGAGGUAUGUUUUGUGCAGAAUAGCUGGGAGGCUGUGAACUGGGAGCGCUAGCUCUCAGGGAGCCAACGUUGAGAUACCAGCCUGAGCAUGCUUUAAUUCUAACUUUGUCCCGUGAAUCCGGGCUUAGGACAUUGUCAGUUGGGCAGUUUGACUGGGGCGGUCUCCUCCUAAAAAGUAACGGAGGAGCGCAAUGGUACCCUCAGCCUGGUCGGCAAUCAGGCAAAGAGCGUAAAGGUAUAAGGGUGCUUGACUGUGAGACAAAUAAGUCGAACAGGUACGAAAGUAGGUCUUAGUGAUCCGGUAAUUCCGAAUGGAAGGGUUAUCGCUCAUCAGAUAAAAGGUACUCUGGGGAUAACAGGCUUAUCGCCACCGAGCGUCCACAGCGGCGAGGCGGUUUGGCACCUCGAUGUCGGCUCAUCGCAUCCUGGGGGUGAAGAAGCUCCCAAGGGUUUGGCUGUUCGCCAAUGAAAGCGGUACGUGAGCUGGGUUCAGACCGUCGUGAGACAGGUCGGUCCCUAUCUGCUGCGGGCGCACGAAACUUGAGGAGGUUCAACUUUAGUACGAGAGGAUUUGGUUGGACGUAGCUCUGGUGUACCAGUUGUCACGCUAGUGGCAUGGCUGGAUAGCUAACUACGGAAAGGAUAAACGCUGAAAGCAUCUAAGCGUGAAGCCCUCUCCAAGAUUAGGUUUCGUAGCUCAAUCGAGUGAAAGUCCCCUUGUAGAUGACGAGGUUGAUAGGCCAGAUGUGUAAUUACCGUAAGGUAUUCAGCUAACUGGUACUAAUGGACGAAAGCUUGACCAU
rnacentral:rRNA from 1 species